rnacentral:rRNA from 1 species
GACAGAGGGGCCAAGCGUUAGGCGGAAUCACUGGGCUUAAAGCGUGUGUAGGCGGAUGCCUAAGUACCUUGUGAAAUCCCCCGGCUCAACCGGGGAACUGCUGGGUAUACUGGGUGUCUUGGGUCAUCUAGGGGCUGCCGGAACAAAUGGUGGAGCGGUGAAAUGCGUAGAUAUCAUUUGGAACGCCAACGGCGAAAGCAGGCAGCUGGGGAUGCACCGACGCUGAGACACCAAAGCCAGGGGAGCGAACGGG